rnacentral:tRNA from 1 species
GCCUCUGUAGCUCAGUGGUUAGAGCACUGGUCUAGUAAACCUGGGGUCGAGAGUUCUAUUCUCUCCGGAGACA